rnacentral:rRNA from 1 species
AACGAACGCUGGCGGCAUGCCUAACACAUGCGAGUCGAACGAGACCUUCGGGUCUAGUGGCGCACGGGUGCGUAACACGUGGGAAUCUGCCCUUUGCUUCGGAAUAACAGUUAGAAAUGACUGCUAAUACCGGAUGAUGUCGAAAGACCAAAGAUUUAUCGGCAAAGGAUGAGCCCGCGUAGGAUUAGGUAGUUGGUGGGGUAAAGGCCUACCAAGCCGACGAUCCUUAGCUGGUCUGAGAGGAUGAUCAGCCACACUGGGACUGAGACACGGCCCAGACUCCUACGGGAGGCAGCAGUGGGGAAUAUUGGACAAUGGGCGAAAGCCUGAUCCAGCAAUGCCGCGUGAGUGAUGAAGGCCUUAGGGUUGUAAAGCUCUUUUACCAGGGAUGAUAAUGACAGUACCUGGAGAAUAAGCUCCGGCUAACUCCGCG